GGACCCGCACAAGCGGUGGAGCAUGUGGUUUAAUUCGAUGCAACGCGAAAAACCUUACCUACACUUGACAUACUUCGAAUUUUCUAGAGAUAGAUUAGUGCCUUCGGGAGCGAAGAUACAGGUGCUGCAUGGCUGUCGUCAGCUCGUGUCGUGAGAUGUUGGGUUAAGUCCUAUAACGAGCGCAACCCUUACCCUUAUUUGCCAGCGGUUAGGCCGGGAACUAUAAGGGAACUGCCGGUAAUAAGCCGGAGGAAGGUGGGGACGACGUCAAGUCAUCAUGGCCCUUACGUGUAGGGCUACACACGUGCUACAAUGGGAGAUACAGACGGUUGCUAAAGCGCGAGCUGGAGCCAAUCCGACAAAGUCUCUCGUAGUCCGAAUUGCAGUCUGGAACUCGACUGCAUGAAGCCGGAAUCGCUAG
rnacentral:rRNA from 1 species